CAAAAUGCUCUCUGCCAAAGGAGAUUUGCCCCGCAAUUCAUCCCAUGCAAAAUCUUUUCAUCAUCUCUAUGCAAGUUUUGUUUAUUUUUCUUGGCCAUACCAUGCGCGCGAGGUCUAUGUUGUAAAAAUGAGAGAAGGCAUGAGUAGUCACGUGAUUAGAUGCAUCAUGCAAGGCAAGCUCUCUACAAUUCUUCCCGGGUUUGCAAAUGGUUAUCGGAGAAUAGCACAAUCGUUGACUAAGAUUCUUAAAAUGGUUUGGAGUUGGACAAACGAAAUUGAUGUUUAUGGUAACAUUAACCAUGAUAUCUUUACUAGCCCAAUGGGCAAUAUAAAAGCUUGUCUAUGUUUGUAUGUAAGGCCUAUAUAAUUAGAUCUACCAUAUUGGCCCCAAAAUAAGGGCGUGUGAAGAGGCCAUGAUGAUGGAUGAAAUUGCCCUUU